rnacentral:rRNA from 1 species
CGGGGUGCACCAGGCGCGAAAACUUUACAAUGCCGGCAACGGCGAUAAGGGAACCUCGAGUGCCAGGUUACAAAUCUGGCUGUCGUGAUGCCUAAAAAGCAUUGCAUAGCAAGGGCCGGGCAAGACCGGUGCCAGCCGCCGCGGUAACACCGGCGGCUCGAGUGGUAACCGUUAUUAUUGGGUCUAAAGGGUCUGUAGCCGGCCGGGUAAGUCUCUUGGGAAAUCUGGCAGCUUAACUGUCAGGCUUUCAGGAGAUACUGCCUGGCUCGAGGCCGGGAGAGGUGAGAGGUACUUCAGGGGUAGGGGUGAAAUCUUGUAAUCCUUGAAGGACCACCAGUGGCGAAGGCGUCUCACCAGAACGGACCUGACGGCAAGGGACGAAAGCUAGGGGCACGAGCCGGAUUAGAUACCCGGGUAGUCCUAGCCGUAAACGAUACUCGCUAGGUGUCGGCCACGGUGCGACCGUGGUCGGUGCCGUAGGGAAGCCGUGAAGCGAGCCACCUGGGAAGUACGGCCGCAAGGCUGAAACUUAAAGGAAUUGGCGGGGGAGCACAAGGGCGAAU